GCCCCCGUGAUGGAACGUAGACACACCCGAUUCGCAUUCGGGCGGUACUCUGCGGCUGAUGCAGAUAUGACCAUGCGGGUUCAAGUCCCGUCGGGGGCA
rnacentral:tRNA from 1 species